AUGGAUCGUGGGCGAUAUGCUCCACAGCAUGGAUGGGAGAACAACAGUGCACCUGAUGGGUAUGGCGCCAUUAAUGAGCCAGACUUUAGGGCUGGUGAAUCCUACAUUGGUAGGAGAUAUGUGGAUGAAGGCUUUCCUAGUGAUCGAAGGGGUGGAUUUGGUCCAGAUAUACAUGAUAGAAAUAUGUAUCCACCACCACCCUCUGCUGGCACCAUGUGGUCUCAGCCUCGAAGAAAUUUCGAUGAAGAAUUUGCAACUACAAAAGAUUACAGAAGGAACAAAAGGAUUGGAAGUAGAGAUCGGGGGGAGUUCGGUGCUGAGUUUGAAGACCGCUACCAAGGUGGAGAGGACAACUAUGAGAGAGAUCAUCAAUACGGACGCUACAGCUGUGAUUCGGACUAUGAGAGGAGCAGGAGAGAUAGUAGUCGGAGAAGACUUGACUCGUUUGAGCAUGAACGUGAAAGAAAAGGGUUAAGCCAUGAAAGAGACGAAAGCCCAUAUGUCCGCCAUAGCCGUUCUCGCUCACGUGGGCGUGAUAACCGAUCAAGAUCUCGGUCAAGGUCAUGGUCUCCACGUGGCAAAAGUCGUAAUUGGGGCCAAAGGGAUGGCUUCUAUGAUGAUACUCGCUUUGAGAGAAGAGGAGAACAGGACUGGGAUGAAAGAAGGCAUGAUGAUUUGGUGGCGCCAUCUGCGACUGUUGUUCUCAAGGGUCUCUCCCAGAAGACCAAUGAAGAUGACCUAUAUCAGAUUCUUGCUGAGUAUGGCCCUCUUCGUAGUGUGCGUGUGAUCAAGGAUCGACCCUCCGGCGUGUCUCGAGGAUUUGCUUUUAUUGACUUCCCUACUGUGGAAGCUGCCCGCAAAAUGAAGGAAGCUACUGGAGACAAUGGCCUUCUAAUUGAUGGUAGGCAGAUAUUUUCCGAGUACAGUAGUAAACCAACUGGUGGGAUGAGUGGUGAUUCUUUUGGACAAGAACAUAUUACGAGGUCUACCUACGGGCGCAGGACCGUAUCCACACCAUGUGAUUGGAUAUGUACUAUAUGUGGCUGUAUGAAUUUUGCCCGCAGAACCUCCUGUUUUCAGUGCAACGAGCCACGAACUGACGAUGCUCCACCAGCUGAUGCAGCAUCUUCCAUUCAACCGUUUGGCAAACGGGGAUCUGAAAUAGGUCCAACUCAUGUGUUAGUUGUUCGUGGUCUGGAUGAAAAUGCUGACGAGGAAAUGCUUCGAUAUGAAUUUGCUAAACAUGCACCAAUAAAGGAUAUCCGGCUUGUUCGAGACAAAUUUACUCAUGUGUCUAGAGGUUUUGCAUUUGUCCAUUUUCAUUCGGUUGAAGAUGCCACGAAAGCUCUUGAAGCUACAAAUGGGAUUAGACAUGAGAAAAAUGGCCAGGUGUUACGUGUAGCCUAUGCUAAAAGCACGCUUGGACCUGCAUCGGUGGCUUCACAGUCAAACAGCCUUGCCGCAGCAGCCAUCGAGGCUGCAUCAUUUGCCCAGCAGUAUGAUGCUGUGGGUUGGGCCCCAAAAGAGUACAAUGCUGAGGACAAUGUAGAUGGUAAUUCAGAAUCUCAGAAAGAUGUUUCUGCUCCACAGUCCGGAUUUGUUUGGGAUGAGAAGUCGGGCUAUUACUUCGAUUCUUCUUCUGGAUUCUAUUAUGAUGGAAAUACUGGCCUUUACUACGACAGUAAUGUUGGAGUUUGGUAUUCGUAUGAUCAGAAAACUCAACAGUAUCUUCCAUGUAACGAAAGCAACAACACUAAGGCAACCGGGGACAUGGCCAACGAAAGUCAAAGUAAUGGCGGUAAGAAAGUAGUGAUUUCCGCACCUGCAGCCACGGUUAAACAAAGUGAGAAAACUUCAUUGCCUGAAGCUGUUCAAGCUGCGGCAAAUGCAGCGUUGGCUGCUGAAAAGAAAGAAAAAGAGAAAGCAAAGGAGAUAAAGUUGGCCUCGAAAACUAAUCUCUUAGCCAAUAAGAAGAAGAUGAAUAAUGUCCUAGCAAUGUGGAAGCAAAGGAAUAAAGAAGGCCAGGCUGCACAUGUUGCCCUUGAUGAUAAGGAACCAUCCAGAUCCGUUGUUGACAAAUUAAACAAUUCACCCAGUGCGAUUGGAUUCUCAUUGAAGGCCAAACCAAAGUCUGAUUUUGGAAAUUCUAAGGACAUGAACUUGGUUGCUGGAUAUAAUUCUCUUGGCCGAGAAACUGGAGGCUCUCAAAUACUGGAUUCUGACAUAAAGCCUAGACCUGUCAGUAAUAGCUUAGGAACUACUGUUAUGGGUGUCAUAAGAGGUUCUGGCAGGGGAGCAGUCAACACAUUUCAUGCAUCAUCUGAUGCUGGUGGCAGUAUUUCUUCUGAUAUAACCGCAAGCACAAGUGGGUUAAUGACAAACACCGAGACACACACUGCUUCCACACCCUUCAAAACAGAUUUAUCCUCUCUAGGAUCAUAUGCUUCACCUGCAGUUUCUGGGAGUGCUAAGCGACGUUUCUCCGAGGCACCAGGGCAAUCACAGUACAGAGAUCGGGCUGCAGAAAGACGAAGUCUAUACGGAUCAUCUUCAUCGCUUCCCAAUGAUGGACUGGAUACAACUGGUGAAUAUUCGUCUCGAAAGGGUUCAAGUGAGAUGGGAUCAAUGCCAUUUCCUCCAGGGGUGGGUGAACGUUCUGUUGGUGAAAGUGACAACACUGAAAAUUAUGAGGUGAUCACUGCUGACAGAGCAAUAGACGAAAACAAUGUGGGCAAUCGAAUUCUGCGCAACAUGGGCUGGCAAGAAGGACUGGGCCUUGGAAAGGAUGGCAGUGGCAUCAAGGAGCCGGUGCAGGCCAAGCCUGGUGACGUGAGAGCCGGGCUUGGUAGUCAGCAGAAGAGAGCUGCUGACCCAUCACUGGAGGCCCGAGCCGGCGAUAGCUAUAAAACCAUAAUCCAGAAGAAGGCCAUUGCGAGAUUCAGGGAGAUGUCCUAA
rnacentral:rRNA from 1 species